GUGGGGAAUCUUGCGCAAUGGGCGAAAGCCUGACGCAGCCAUGCCGCGUGAAUGAUGAAGGUCUUAGGAUUGUAAAAUUCUUUCACCGGGGACGAUAAUGACGGUACCCGGAGAAGAAGCUCCGGCUAACUUCGUGCCAGCAGCCGCGGUAAUACGUAGGGGGCUAGCGUUGCUCGGAAUUACUGGGCGUAAAGGGCGCGUAGGCGGACAGCUUAGUCAGAGGUGAAAGCCCAGGGCUCAACCUUGGAAUUGCUUUUGAUACUGGCUGUCUUGAGUACGGGAGAGGUGAGUGGAACUCCGAGUGUAGAGGUGAAAUUCGUAGAUAUUCGGAAGAACACCAGUGGCGAAGGCGACUCACUGGCCCGUUACUGACGCUGAGGCGCGAAAGCGUGGGGAGCAAACAGGAUUAGAUACCCUGGUAGUCC
rnacentral:rRNA from 1 species